UGCUGGUCUCAAGUUGCUUUGUUUCACAUCCGAUCAGAUUUUAAAGCGCAUUUUCCAGCAUUGCCUGUUGUAGGUUAUGAUUGCAGGCUGUUUUUGCUCUCAAGCAAGCCUGAAGUGCUGAACUGUAACCUAAUGAAACCAGAGAUCAUUUCCUGGAGAAGAGGCUGUCUGGGAGAAGAAUAGAUGGCAUGCAUUAUAAUGAACCGAGCCUGACACCAGCUCAUCCAUCAUCCAGCCUGGGAAAAUUAUAACACUCCGGACGGCACGAGAGCCACUCAUAGCCACUUCGCAAUGCCAUGAACUGUCGCUCAUUGGGGAUGUCGUGGCUCAGGUGGAGGGGGCGCCAUGCCAUGCCAUGCCAUGCCAUGGGUCCGGGGACCCGGGUUCGGUUCCAGCCCGGGGUCAUUUCCCGAUCCCUCCCCGUCUCUCUCUCCUGCUUGUUUCCUGUCUCUGCACUGUCCUAUCCAAUAAAGGUGAAAAAGGCCCAAAAAAAAUCUUUAAAAAAAAAAAAGAACUGUCGCUCACUCACUCGAUGUUUUUUUGUUUUUCGCACCAUUCUAUGUAAACUCCUGAGACUGUUGUCUGUGUGUGAAAACCCCAAGAGAUCAGCAGUUUCUGAAAUACUCAAACCAGUCCAUCUGGCUCAAACCAACACCCAUGCCACAGUGAAAGAA